rnacentral:misc_RNA from 1 species
GUAGGUGAACCUGCGGAAGGAUCAUUCAUAACAAGUGUUUUAUGGCACUUUUUUAAAUCCAUAUCCACCUUGUGUGCAAUGUCAGGUUCGGAUCUCUCUCUUUCUCCUUUUAUAGGGGAAGGGAGGAGACAUCGGCCAAAACAUCAACCCUAUCUUGACUUUUUGUCUGAAAAAUAUUAUGAAUAAAAACAAUUCAAAAUACAACUUUCAACAACGGAUCUCUUGGCUCUC